AACAGUGUUUUAUUGCUGUCUAUGAACCAUAUGGCCACAGGCAAUUUUCGGGCCAGUUUUCUUGGAAAAAAAAAAAAGAAGAAGGUGCGUUUUAGAAUCGGGUAAACACUGUAAUCAUUCAUUGUGAGCUACCAUUUUCACUUGAAAAUCAUCUUGGGGCAGGUUGAAAAAAGGCGUUCUUUGUGAGGGUGACGUUUUUUCUGUGCAUUCACUGUCCCUUAAACUCCACCAAAAAUGACACUGCCGCUAAAGGGGUCGCUAUUGGGUUCACCAUAGGGAACAGGUGCGUGUGUGUUGACCAGUCAAGUUCGAAUUAUCUGUAGAAGGCCAAUCUUGGUAUCGAACUAACAAACGUUUAGGCCCAUAGAAAUGUAUGGGUGCCAGUUGAGUCGAGAUUGAAUUAACAAAAAAAUCUAAUUAAGUGAAUUCAAAUUAAUAGAAGUCUACUGUAUUGAGAUUAAACUGUAUGUAGAACCCUACUGUAUGUAAAAAACCCUACUAGCAGUGUUUUCUACACAGCUCAUAUUGCUGCUGCUAAAAAGGUAUGCUCUGUAAAUGAAAUGGUUCAUGACCUUUGGUCGUGCGCUGAAAUUCUAAAAAAUUCUGAGAAUUUUUAUUCUAAAGGUGGGUUUUACGUUCUAGGUUGUGGGAUAAAUGUGUCUCGGUAGUUCUUUUACACGAAAACCCGCACUGCAACAUGAAUAUGCGUUCGGGCAUUCUUCGUCUAGAACCAAUUUUUAAGCCGAAUGAGCCACUAGAAACCGUUCCCCAUUUCUUGUCUCCAGAAUUUCGAGGAUGCUUAAGCUUUGCCUUAAGAGUUGAGCGCAAUAGCAUUCGACGAUCCUUGACUACUUCUCACGCUUCCCAGCAGCUGCAGCUUAUGUAACCGUGAUGUUUACCGGGAAAUGCUGGCGGUGAACACCAUGCACAAAGGGCAGCCUUUUGUAUGGGCCGAUCUUGUGUUAUUGUUUUGCACUUUUAAUAUUUCGGUUUGAGAAGAUUUAACGUAAACGGCAAGCACUGUCCGUGUUUUGUUUCAUGACAUUUGUUUGUGGGGUGUCAUCCUCAAAAUUCCGAGGAAUAACUUUGUAAAGAAUGAAAGACAAAGUGUGUAAGACAAAGUUGGUAAAAGAAGUAUUUAGUGUCCACGGAGGGCCUGCUUGGUUGUGGUUCGGAAUGAUUUUUUGUCAAACGACGGUCGGCGCAGACACCGGAUUUUUUGCGACACAGGGCCCUUAACACUAUGGCGUUAAAAUGGUGAUGCUCACACUCAAGGCAGGUAGUAAAAGAGCUGCAAAAUCAUUUACACGUUUCUUUAACCUCAGCUUGCUCAAUCGAAUGUGAGUUCAAUGGCAACAUUCAAGUCGAGUGGAGAGGCACGAGUGCAAGUUUCUGAAUACAGUUGAACCGAGAUAUAUCGAAUCUGAAGGGGAUCACAAAAAAGUUUUAUGUAUAGGUAAUUUUAUAUAUAAAAUAAAUAUUUUGUACACAAAUAUAAAAGGGGGUUUUACUGCUGUUUGUUAUACACAAUAAUUAGUUACUUGUAGGUUCGAUAUAUCCGGGUUCGACUGUGUUGUCUAUUUGAUUAGCACAUUGCUGUUCUGAUUCUCAGUUGGUUUCAAGGUGUACGAGUUUCACCAAUGUUCGUUUCUCACCUUUUACAAAUGGACCUUGACAUAUUCAAAGCAAGCUUUCUGUGACCCUUGGGAUUACACUUGUGACUCCAGUAUUGUAAUGUGGAGGUGGUUAACUGUUGUCUUAACUUAAGUCAUUGAUUUAGUUGAAGAGGUAAUCUUUAAAGUGAAGUACAAAACCUUUGCUGCAGCUCUUUUGAUAGGCAAAGUGUGCAGACCACUUUCAAAGGGGUUCUGCUUUUAUGCUGUGUAUUUCAAUUCACUCAUUUGCAUUUACUGGAAACUUUAUUUCUUAGGAUGGCACAAAGGUAGCAUAUGAUUGGGAGAUGUUGCAAUGCACCUCUCAAGGCUGUGUACUCUGUGUACUCUGGCUGUGAUUGUGAAAGUUUGCUCAUUUUGUGGCAUCAGUAUACUGUGGGCCUGUUAGGCACAUAAACACAGGCUUUGGAAAGUAAAAACUCAUGUAACGCCCCCAUGUGCUUUGCUUUGGGUCGCUCGGCAGUGGUACCACAAGCUAUGCCAACUGCACCUGUAGCAUUGGAAUUUCUGCGGGCAUGUGGCGUGCCAUUAUGUUGGCGAUGAGUCGGCACUCUGUACUGCAACAAUGUGGCAUGACUGAUGUGUGUGCAUUAGCAUUCAAAACACUCACUGCACAUCUUCCACUAUCUCGGAACUCUCUGAAGCAGGUGCCAUGCAUAAUACAUUGCAUGCCAGCAUGGCUAGUUGGUAACUUAAAGCUGAUGCAGGAGAGGUAAAAUGCUGGUGAGCGAGACCUUGCAUAGCUGAUUCGACACCACCUCCUGGCACCUCGAUAAGUUUCAGCCUUUGUGGAUGACUUGAUGUCUGGAAAGUGCAGCACAUUCGAAGCAGGACGUCCGUGAUGAUUGGCACUUUCAUUUCUUGUAAAGCUUAUCUUGCGGUGGGCGUAUUGGCCUAUGAAGCCAUAUUGCCUUGCAUGUAGACCCGGAAGUUACUGUGUUUUUGUGUGUACAAGUCGCACCAAAACUUCCACGAAGUCCAAGAUGCAUGGAUUCCGUCUUCAUAUGUAGCUUCCAGGCAGUGCAGAGUGCACUGUUGUAAAGCAGCAGUAAAAACAGUGAUGACUGAACAUAGAAAACAAGGUUACCUUGCAACAUGCGGCCACUUUAAUAAAAUUUAAUGUUGUGUGCGUUUAUUUGUGAGGGUUUCAUUCACGGAAAUACGCAUUAAAUAUAAGUGGUAUUGGCUAAGUGCAGCAUGCACAAUGUCGACUGCUGGUGUUGAAUGCUUCAAACCCAUUGGUAUCAUAUCUGAGCCUUAAGAACUACAGUAUAGACCACUUAUAACGUAACUGCUUAUAGUGCAGGACCGGAUAUAGUGCGGUCUUUUCAGACUCCCAUUAGUUUUCCCGUAGCACUCCAUGUAUACACGUAUCGCUUAUAGUGCAGUUGCGGGAAACGAAAUACCGGUUACAGUGCGGCUGCCUGGGAGUACGGAAGUCAGCGGAGACGGCGAACGCUCCCCUCAAACGGGCGCCCCAAGGAAUGCUCAAGGAAGAAAGAGAGACGAAGUGGAGGAGAAGGGCACGUGGCGCGAACGAACAGCCAGUGAGGCUGAAACCAGAAUCUUGAGUGCAAGUCGUGAAAUAUCACGGCGCGCAUAGCAAGCGAGGGCCACGAAACUGCCAACACCGGCCAACGCUUGCUUCACGAUAACGGCAGUAAACGAAACUUCAGGGAGCGGGCGGCGCUGGCACAGCAUGGCAAAGGGUGCACGCGGAGACCGUGGAAUGUGAGGGAGGAGGGCGGCAGGGAAGCGGAUUUCGCCUCGGCAACUCCGCCGCUUCGGUGGCUCCCCUCGCCCUCCCUCGUAGCUCCCUCACUUUCGACUGUCACCGUGCGCACCUGCCGCCGCUCCAGCCGGCCCUGCGCAAGCUCCCCGAAGUUUCGUUUUCUGCCGUUAUUGGGAAGCAGGCGUUUGCCGGCGUGGGCAGUUUCGUUGGCCAAUCUGGGACAGCGCCGCUGCUUCCCUCUGCGCCGUAGCCGCAGCGUGCAAGGUCAACACGUGACUAGAAAGUAGAGGAAGCAUAAAGGAGAAAGAAGGGUUCACUGCCAUUUUCUACGCGUGGCUACGGUAGCAUGGCUGAGACGUCGGCACGUACACGCAUGAUUCGGCGCAACGCAGAAUCGGCUGCCUUGCCAUUUUAGAGAGGUUGAAAUUUCCGCCGCGUUUUUUUUUUUCUUUCUUUUUUUUUUUUUUUGUUCGCGCGCGACACUGAGGAGUCUCUCCUAAGCUUUUACUCUAUGGCGGUGCCGGAGCAAUGCCGGUUGGAGGCGCCGCCGUGUGAUUUGGUUCGAAUUAACGAGAUUCGACUGUAAAUUGAAUGCAAACGUUCUAGCCGCAUUCCUCGACUGUCGCAUACGCAUGGCGGCUCGGUGCACAUGUUUUGCAUAUGUGCGGGCCUUGAAAAUUGUUGCUUUGGUUAUAGUGCGGAUAUUCGCGACUCCGGCGACAUACGUUAUAAGCGGUCUACACUGUACAAGGAACAGCACCUAGUGUGAUGGCGCCUUAUCUGUGUUUUGCCCUGCCAGCAUAUUUCUGAUGAAGUACACUCUGAGGCUGCUUAUGUUACAACACAGAAUAGUGCUGUAGAUAACAAAAGUGUUGUAAUAGUUUUCUGAUAGUUGGCAGGACCACUCUGCGUUUCAUUAUGCUAAAGAAAAGCAUGCCAUUUAUUCUGUCCAUUUAAAAUAGAGGAGCAUAACGAUGAUCCAAACAAUGACUUUCAAGGAAGCGACUGACAAAAACGUUUAUUACAUGUUUUCUUUUGUUUCUUUAAUAACAUUGAUGGCAAAACCCACCAGACAUAUCGUAACUAAUGUGUUUUUCACAAGAAAAAGUGUAUUUGUCAACUGUAAGCCUCUCAAGGAGUGGACUUCAGUGACGUAACUGGAAAAACGAAUUUGCUAGAUUGUACUGUGGCUUGUUGCUAGGUUAAUGGUGUCAUAUUGCGUGGCAACUAUGACAAGCGUUCAUAAAGCAGUCCGGUGUGUGUAUUUGUUUCUGUAAAAUUUUAUAAAAGUACCGUAUUUUCUGGUAUGUAAGUCGCGGUUUUCUUCUGAAUUUUUCGUUGCUUAAGCUUAUGGAAUAGGGCGACUUAUAUGCGUUUUUUUUUUUUUUUUGAAGAACUGCCGUCAAAAUUGGAUUGGAUGCUAUGACAACGCGAAGUGCGCUCGUUUGUCCUGCUCUGGCAGUUGCUACAGGUUGUGUGCGCGCUAUGGAGGUACCCGGUUCAUCUCAUGAUGAGUUGUGGAGCGCCGUGCGAGAAGGCCAGAGCAGCAGCGCAAGUGGAGGCAGGCCGACUGCGAGUCGACCACCCCCAAGUCUUCGCAUCUGCAGAUCGCUUGCAAGAUACGGUGCGUGCUGCUGCGCAAACUGCACAGUUGCUACCAGAGUACAAGUCACGCCCCCUCGAUCCCUCCCACGCUGCCUUCCUGCUUUUCUCCCUUGUGCUCGAUUCGACUCACCGUCGCACGCUUUCGCUCUCACAUACAGCAUACAGCACGCGGGUACGAUGUUAUCGCCCUUGGACCUUAUACGGAACAUUGCAGCGACCACGACGAUAGAAAUGCUCCUGGAGUGUCCAUAUCAUUGCUAUCGCAAUUAUAUAGGAAUGGCACCCAUACGCUUGCACGUGACCUGCGUUCACUAAGCAAAAUGCCUCUGUAAUUUUUUUUAAUUGCUUACCAAAUGAACAGGUGCGUCUUUUACACUGGUGCGACUUUUAUACUUUUUUUUUCGGUAAAACUGUCGUUUUGAGGGGGGUGCGACUUAUAGACCGGAAAAUACAGUAAAUAUAAAAAGUAGCAUUAGUAAUCUAUUAUACUUUCUGACAAUUUCAUAUCAAAGUAAUGACGUCACAUUGGCCUGAUUACAGGUUGUGGAAAUCGGAAGAGCCCUGUAUUUUUUAAAUAUUCCACUCAUUUUUCUUUUUUAUCUGUAAUUCGUAGGCAGCCCUAUUGAAUUUAGUGAUUAGAACAGCUGGAUUGUCUUAAGCUGCAUGAGCAUUGCAAGGAGCUUUCAUAUAAAGUUGAACCAAAGUUUACAAAUGACAAGCACAUAAUACUACAAGGAUGGGGUGGGUAACAUAAUGUUGGCAAUUCUCUCAUGCAUACUGCAAGAAGUUGUGUCAAUGUAAAGCUUUUGAACAACACUGAUAACAAUAGAAGGCCCAGUUAUGUUUAUUUUGCUGCCUUUUAUAAUAUAAAGAAACUGCAUGCAUAGGAAGUUCUGGUUUAUUGUGUUUUAGUAAUGGAAUUAACACUGCAAUAUGUUGCUGCAACAGAUGUGAAACACAAGAGGAUUUUAUGAUCACUGUAUCCAGUUAUUAAAAGUGGCAAAUGUUAGGUAGAACGACAAUGAUAUCAUUAUCAUUGAUAAGGAUAAUGUAUGACAAUGAUCGCUGGCAUAAAUUCAUAGCAGUGGCUGGGAAAAAAGGAUCCAUGAAGAACAUUAAAAGCAGAAGCAAUCCGCAUUCUCAUUAAGGCAGUGCCGCAUUGUGGAAAAAUUCACAGUGGUUUAAGAAUUGUGACUACAGAUUUUCCUCUAGUAAGCUUAGUGUAAGACUUCUAUGCUGUGUGUAUCGACUGUUAAUAACAUUAAAGGGGCUCUAAAACACCUUUUCCUAAGACAUGAGAAACACAUUCGAAUAGCUGCAGUCACUUUCAAGGAAUAUACCGUCUGUUCCUGAAAGAAUUUGUUGAGAAACAAACCUAAUACAAAUGGAGGAAUUAGGAGCAUAAUAAUUAUUUUCUAGAUUUCCCCACGACUCAUUCAUUCUCCUCAGCAGGGGUAGUGCUGGUAAAAUUGUCCAGCUAUCGUGUGCUUCACGUUUCCUUUUUUUCUUUUUUUUUGUUUGAUGGUCUUCUGACAGAUUGCCAAGAGCGAUGGGACAAGCGUAGCACGUUACGAACCAUUGCUUCUCUGUUUCCUGGUUAUCUGACAGAUCCGGAAUGCACGAGCUUGUGUGUGUUAGUAAUUUGUGGUCACAAACGAUUGCCCAAUGACCGGUGUCCAUGGGCUGCUCCCUCCUGACAUCAUCAUCAUCAGCCUAUAUUUAUGUCCACUGCCACCUGACAUAGUCGGUGGCAGUUCCGAAAAUGGUGGGGAGGAGCCUUUUCUUUGAAAAGAUUAGAAAUUAUGCGCUCUUUGCUGGCUCUAUGUAUCAAGUAUACCUACAAACUUGCCUAAGAUGUUCACAGCUCCAUGGUGUACUCACAGAAUGUGUUUAGUUGCCUAGCUCAAGGGGUAGUUAUUCUUAAACAUAAUUUAACAGAAUGUAAGAAACAGCAAACAGCACAUAAAUAAAUUGCAGUGUUUGAAUAGUUCAUCUUGAAGUUAAUGUCAUUUUAACGACUUGUCCAAUGGCCUAAAUUUUGAAAUUUGGUGUGAACUGUAUUGUUGCAAGGUAGAUAAUUCCAAAAUGUAGAGGUGAAAAAUGGGUCUGUAGUAAUAUAUAUAGAGGCACUGGUGUUUAAACUACUUAGGCAGCAUGCAUAAUUUCUGGCCUCACUUCUUCCCCUCCUCUUCUAUCUCCCCCCAUAGCUUAUGAAAUUAAAGAAAAGUGUAAAAUUUUGAGUGCUUGCGCAUCGACUAUCUUUCAAAAGCAGAUCACCAAAGCUGUGUGCUAGAGAUGGUGGCCAUGGUGUGGCAAUGUUAGGGGCAGCACUGUAAUUAGUGAUGCCCGCAAGCUUCUGCAAUCUCAUAUUUCUUUAGCCCUCUUUCAGUUUUGGCAUGUCUUGGGAUGUCUAGCAAACUACUAUUUCCGAUUUCUUCAGGUUCUGCAAAUUUCCACCAACCAUGAGCUAAGUUUUCAUGAUCAGCAAACUCCAAAAGGCGCCCCCUUAUUAUGCUAUGACGCCAUCAAAUUUCUGUAUUGGUACUCGAGGAAAGGGAGAUUGAGGCUAUCCAAUUAAGGCCAGUGGUUUUAUACCCGUGCUUUCCAGAUUAGCACUUGAUGCUUGUAAUAGAAAUGCAGUCUGUUGAAAGAGCUUGUAUGGCUGAAAUAUAGCUUUGAGGAGAAGUGAACACACAAUAUUUUUAAUUGUUUGUGUCACUUGUUUGUUUGCCCUCAUGUCAAUUUCCUUUUAGUAUUUUCAUGACUACUGGGGGUAUUUAAAGGCACCUAAAAUCUCUCUGACAGUGCAAUGUAUUCCAGUAUGCUAGACACCAUGGGGUUUUAUUUAAAGGGGUACUGACACAUUUUUGAAGCUGUAAAAGCUCUACCACAUUCGUACUUGCUAUUCGUCUACCACAUAAAGGAUGACGCUUAGCAAGUACGAAGGUUGGGAAAACUUGCAAGUUAUUUUAAUUUGAUACUUGAGUUGUUUUCGAGACGCUGGACCCUGAGUCAUCGACAUUAUCGUGACGUCAUGACGGAGCAAAAUUUUCUUACAUCGUAACAAUAGGGCUAGGUAUUAUGACAUUGCUCAUAAAAAAAUGUUUCUGCAGAAACCAUCGACAGUGAUUGUCAGUGCAAGCGAAUAGCGAAACGCUUCAAGAAAGCUAUUCGCUUUCUUGGUGUGCUUGAUAGCAUUAAAAAAAAAAUUCACUUUUUUUUGUGGCUGUGGCUACAUUGUUGCAAAUACAUUAUGAUGUAACAUAGUUUAGCGCUGUUGCCAGCGAAAAUCGCUUUCAUUGUUCUGUGUCGUUUGGCCCCUGCGUGUUAACAGUGCUUUGAUAUUUCAUGCCAAGUCUUCCAGUGAGCAGGUUCAUCAAGUUCUGUUAUGCAGCCUUUGUGCCUUUCUUUCUUUCUUUCCUCUGUUGUACAUUGUUUGCAUAUUUAUUGUCACGAAAAUCACUGUACGCCAUGUAAAUAUGCAUGUUGGCAAAGGAUAUGUAGGGAUGUUUAGCAAGCAUCCACAUACAGGUAGAGCACUUGUCAUUUUAAGCGCCGUCAUCUGAGAAAGUCACCGAUCAUGAAACAGCUAGAAUCAAUGCUUCUAUGUUACUGUGUCAUUUGCUAUAAAAGGUGGAUUCAGACGACGGGACCGAUCGCUAAAUCAUUUGGCAUGCAAGCGUAAUGUGGCUGAGCUGCAAUGAAUAGUGCUGCGGGCAGCUUGUCUACAGCGUGAUUCAACAAUGCAUUUCCACAGACUGAAUUGACAAUCUGUCCCAUCAUGUGAAUCCAGCACGAACUACUGCGUCAUGUGCCAUGCUUUUUCAUUGCCUUCUGCACCCACUACUGUGUAUAAGACGACACAGAGGUCGAGCAUGACGUGGCCUCCGAGAUGCUGCAUGGACUCCAAGUCUCUGAGACAAGGCAUGACCAUCCUUCAUUAUCUGCUGCGUGGCGACAAGCAUGACAAAGUUUGACAAGAGGGUGCUGUGUUCAGAAACCAUGAUGUGUGUGACCACCCUCUGUUUUCUACUGUGGGGCAGUACAUGCGACUGAAUUAGCCCAGGGGUGGUAUUCUUGGGCAAUCACUCUCUGGGGCACGCUCACUUUUGCAGUAUAUUUUGCGUGACUAGCUCUGGACUCCGAACACAUUGGCAUCUACGAGCGACAAUGUUGCUGGCACUGUGCCAAGAUGGCAUGCUUGGGUUUGUCAUGAACGUUGUUGCUCGUAGGCACCAAAUCGUUUGGCAGUGAAAGUAUCCCCAAAAGUGACCAUCCGAGACUACCAUUCUGUUUGGCAUAACAAGUGGCAGAAAGGAGUCUUGUUUUCUUGGGGCUGUUAGGCACAGUUUGACAACUGGCACUAAUUUAGUAGCAUUGGCCAGUACACCAUCUAUGUGUCAGCUGGUGCUGUAACAUACUUUUGACCAGUAGUUUCAACUGUUAGUUUCUUGUGAGACGGCAUACAACAAAACAAGCAGCAGCGUAUGUGUGCGAUGCUUAAGCGCUACAGAAGCUGUGCCAUACAAAUCAGCAACGGAAAUGCUGGCUAAGUGGACUUUUGCUCUUUUUUGGCCGUGCCAUUCCGGUUGCUAAAGUGUGGGCUGUACAUAAAAUUUUUAUAGGCUCCGAAGGAUUACAACCUCCUGUGCAGCACGGCUUGAAAGCUACAUCACACAGUUCAUUGUAGCAAUGGGUGACCAUUUUAAUAGUCUUAUCACCACAGAUGACGUUUAAUCUUGCAUGUCACAAAAACACUAAUUUCAAAAUAUUUUUAGCAGUGUUUUUCAUGAUGAGUUUGAUUAGACGUUUGGCUAAACGAGCCAUCACAGUUUCUUGGAACCAGAAAUUUUACUGUAAAAAAUUUGUUGAAUUUACAAGUGUGCUCUGGGCCUUGCGCAAAAGGGCAAUAAAAAGCUUUUUGAAACAAA